GCGGCCGCCGCCCUCGCCACCCCGCCUGCCCACUCCCGCCGCCGCCCCGCUCUCGCUUUCCCCCCGGCCUCCCCUCGCCCCUUCUUCCCCUCCCCCUUCCCGGCGCACUCGGGGGGCUGGGAACGAGCUGCCAUGUGAUGCGCGUCCCCUCCGCAAGCUUUCGGUGACCCACGAACUGCCCACCUCGCCGGCUGCCGGGAGGGGGCUGCGAGCCGGGAAGACGCGGGGAAGAGGAGGCGGAAAAGGACGCAAAGUUCUCCGGCGAGCGCGUUCAUUCACAUAGCUCCCAGUUUUAACAUUUCGCCACCUACUGAAGACAUCAUUUGGGACCAAGCUGAUGAGCCCUUGAAGCACAGCAGUGCAGCUGUCUGCUUCAGAAAGUGAGGGCUCCAGGAAUGAGGAGAAUCUUCAAGAGCUGCCUCGCACUGUGACAUGUCUGAUCCCUUGCUCCCAUCCCUGCAGCAUGAACAAGAAACCGCUCCUGCCUCAACUCCAAGGGCCAGAGCGAGUUGGCACACCCUCCAAGAGGAGCACCUCGCUUCU
rnacentral:sRNA from 1 species